UUCAUCUACGUGGGUCUGAUUUUUUUAGGGAAGGUCUGAUUCUUUUUAUCAUCAGUCUUGUCACGAGGAUUUCACAAAGAAAUUUUUCAUCGUGAUCAUUUGAUGAUUUUGAAAGUCUUGUAAAAGUAUUUGUAUAUAAUUGAAUAUAUUAAAAUCCCGUAAUCAUACGUGUCAUGUUGUGGUCUGCGAACAUUAAAUUUUACAGAUGUAAAAUUAAAAACAGAUAUUUUUAUUAUUGAUUACGUUACAUGCGUUGCACGUGCACGUUUACUAGUGAGAUGAAAAGAUAAUAGUCUAUUUUUGCAGUCCUUUAGAAAGACUCUUUUUGGUUCGUAUAAAAGAGGAUUUAGUGAGUUAAUUGUGCCCAAAUAAGAUGAAAAAUAAUAGGACAACAAUAUUUUAAUUUCAGAAUUAGAAUAGUUAUUUGGAUCACGGCGCGGCCUAUAUAGAAGGCACGGAGGUGUUUUCCAACCUGUAAAGAAAAAAGAAAAGGAAAAAGCCCACCCCACAACCGCCGACAGCCGACCGCUCCUCCCCCACCUUCCCGGAUCCCCAACCUCCCUGGAUCCCAUCGCCGGUGACCGCCUGACCUCCGCCGCCACACGCCUGGCUUCUCCUCCUUCCGUCUCCUUGCCCGUGUCCAGCGUGCACCGCCGGCCCUCCCAUGGCGCUGUCGCCGCGGCCACCCACUUCUCCUACCUCCCCACGGCGAGGCGUGCCUCCACCGCCGCCGCGACCCCAGCCGUGCAUCUCCGGCGUGGCGCCUCCCCACCACCGCCGCUACCCCAUCCCGCACCUACCCCCUCCUCCGUCGCCGCCUGCCGGGCGGACCUCGAUUUCCCUACAGGAGGAAGGGGUUCUCGCCGGCUACGUGGGAGAAGGCCAGGGAGACGCGCGGGUCGUGCGGGCGCCGGUGUUGCGUAGCAGUAGGGCGCCGCCAUCGAAUUUUUCAAGGAGAUGCGGCCCCUUCCCCGUCCAACUGCGACCAUGGCGCUGUCCAACCUCGUCUGCGCGCGCAGUCCAUCCUUGUUCACUCUUCGCCAGCAGAGGUGAGACCCCCCUGCCCCCUUCUCCACCUCAUGUGCUCCUUCCGGACUGCCGACGCGGCACUGAUAGCAAAUGUCACGGCGUACGUCCAGUUCACUCAGGGGGGCUCUCUCUCUGCUUCUCCGUUGAGCUUAAUGGACCACUGACCCAAACCCAGCGCGCUUCUGGAUGUCGCCUCGGGGAAGAGCAAGUUCCAAAUGUGAAAUUUGGUAAUUCAAGUGGCCGGAAUUCGUGCUUGUGUGCGGCGGGCUGGCAGUUGAAUCUGCUCCAGCAAUUCAGUUCUUUUCAAUUUUUCCAUGUGCAGCAGCACAUGAAUAUGAGUGUAUGGAAAACGUGUAUGUAGACAUUGAGAAAGUUCAGUAUUGUUUCUUCUAGCUCGCUCAUGCAGCUAUGCAGAUCAUUCCUUUUCAGGCCAUCCCUGUCCAGCCCUCCUGUGGUAGGAAGGUCGAGCCCAUCGCAAGCUGCAGUCUACGGUAGUCACCCGGUCCUGCCUCCUUCAUCCUUCCCCACCUCGCCCUCUGCCUCGACCAGCCGCUUCCCUUUCAGUCGUUGAAGCUACAGAUGGAGCCCGCAAUGCAGCAGCGUCACCCCAACGGCCAUGGGACGGUCGACGAUGGCUGGGAGUGGUGUGCGUCUCUCCGACGUGCUCGGCGUGCUGCCGAGGGGGCUGCAGUUUGAAGUGGCUGGGUAAUGAAGUUCAGAGAAUGCUUUUUUAGUACAUUCAGAGAAGUUGCUUUCUUGCUUUUUGUGAUAUUUUGGCUACGCAGAUACUUAGUGCAGAGAGGUUGUGACCUUUGGCUCCUCUCAUCCUGAACACUUGCACCACAACCUCAUCUCAUGGGUAAAAUGACUAUUAGUAAAUUGGCACUAAAAAAUGAAUACAGAAUGAGUAGAAAGACAUGAUGACCUCAUCUCACGGGUUCCAUCUCAGUAUAGCUCAAGCUUUUUAGAAACUACAUUUGACACAAAGCUUUAAAUUCAUAUAGUUGUGAUAGCUUCUGAAGUAAUUUUAUCACUUUUGCAGCUUUGCCAAUUUAUUUGUAAAUGCUUUGUUUUCCACUAAUUUAUUUCGAAAUGCUUUUUUUCCAUAACAAUUAUUUUGGCAUUAGCAAAACAGAAGUUUCGUCUGGUGGCGAGAGACCAUGCAGGCUGUUUCGUUACUGGAAAAAUGCCUGAACCAUGAACGCGUAUUACGUCCGUGGUGUCGUGCUUCACGUCGGCGACCAUCGGGGCUCCUUGGUCCAUGAACAGGUUUGCUCUGUGGCACGCACAAGCCGAGGAAGCUGCAGUUGUCGCUGGAUAAAGUUCAACUUCGUGCCUGGAUAAAGUUCAGUUGUCGCUGAAGCUUCUGUUGUUCUCCAUCACGCGCCUGUAGAGUGUCCAUGCAGGUCGAGUAAAAUUAUCAUGGAAGUUCAAAUAAAAAGGCAGCUACAGCACAACCGUCGGUGGCUAUAAUGCGUGGUGAAACCUGAAAUCUGAAACUGAGUGUUGCUGGAUAUAGUAGGCAGCAGAUUUUCUGAGGUUUGUUGGUGAACGCAACAACAGUAGUUUGUGCCAUUGGGGCCGUGCGGCAAGCAGAAAUCUACACCUGGAUGUACUCUCUCUGUCUCUCCUGAAAUUCUAGGGCUAAUCUACUUGUAAUUCUAUCUCAUCUAUUUGUAUUUUCUUUCUCCCAUACCUGAACAUAGUGGCAGACUAGCAGUGUUGUAUGGUCAGUCUAUGUGAGAGAGUUUGUGUGAACGUGGUGUUUACUUUUCUUCAGGAAGCCAUUUUUUAAUAAUGAACUAUAUCCCGCCCGCCCACUUAUAUUCUUCAGUAAAAGAGAUGAAGUUCAUUUA